AAGUCGUAACAAGGUUUCCGUAGGUGAACCUGCGGAAGGAUCAUUAAAGAUGUUCAACGGAUGUGCUGGCGUCUAACACCGCAUGUGCACUCCAUAACACAUUCACACACCUGUGAACCUCGGACCGUGCCAUCACUUCUGGGAUGGCAUGCGUUCAAACCUUUGCAAAACCCUUUGAAACAAGCUCUGGAACAUUGAUGCUAUAGUUAAAACAACCAUCAGCAACGGAUCUCUUGGCAUUCCAAUCGAUGAAGAACGUAGCGAAUUGCGAUAAGUAAUGUGAAUUGCAGAAUUCAGUGAAUCAUCGAAUCUUUGAACGCACCUUGCGCCCUCUGGUAUUCCGGAGGGCAUGCCCGGUUGAGUGUCAUGAAUAUCUCAACCCCAACACUUUGUUUGAAAGUCCCAUUGGUGUGCCGGCUGGCCUAGCGAGGCUGCUGUAGCAUUCCUUGCGACUGAAGUGUUGGGGCUUGGACUUGAGCUCUGUUGGCCUUUGUGUUGACUGGCUUGAAAUUGAUCAGCGAUGCGUGAUCCCUUGGGUCCAUCUCGGCGUGAUAAGUUGAUCGUCGCAAAGGACUUUCUUGGGUGUGGCUCGCUUCUAAUCGUCUUAGGACAGCUUUUGACAUUUACACCUCAACUCGGGUAGGACUACCCGCUGAACUUAAGCAUAUCAAUAAGCGGAGGAAAAGAAACUAACAAGGAUUCCCCUAGUAACGGCGAGUGAAGCGGGAAGAGCUCAAAUUUUAAAUCUGGCGGUCUCCGGCCGUUCGAGUUGUAAAUUAUAGAAGCGUUAUCUGUGCCGGACCUGCCAUAAGUUGUCUUGAAUGAUAUAUCAGAGAGGGUGAGAAUCCCGUGCUUUUGCAGGAUCACCGGGGCUAUAUGUUGCGCUCUCAACGAGUCGAGUUGUUUGUGAUUGCAGCUCCAAAUGGGAGGUAAAUUCCUUCUAAAGCUAAAUAUCUUGGAAUGACCGAUAGCGAACAAGUACCGUGAGGGAAAGAUGAAAAGAACUUUGGAAAGAGAGUUAAACAGUACGUGAAAUUGCUGGUGGGGAAACGCUUGAAGUCAGUCGCGUCCUCUGGGAUUCAGCCCCGCUUCUGCAGGGUGCAUUUCCUGGUUGACGGGCCAGCGUCCAUUUUGGCCGUCGGAAAAGGGCAGCGUGAAUGUGGCAGCUCCCGCUGUGUUAUAGCUCGCUGUCGUACGCCUCGGCUGGGAUGGAUCUAACGGCACGCUUCUGUGGUGCCUUUGUUGGCGUAAUGGCUUUAAACGACC
rnacentral:rRNA from 1 species